GACGAACGCUGGCGGCGUGCUUAACACAUGCAAGUCGAACGGAUCGGCCCUGCUUUUUUGGGGUUCUCGAGUGGCGAACGGGUGAGUAACACGUUAGUAACCUGCCCUUGACUUUGGGAUAACUUCAUGAAACUGGUGCUAAUACCGGAUAGGCGCUCCUGCUGCAUGGUUGGUGUUGGAAAGCUUCGGCGGUUGGGGAUGGACUCGCGGUUUAUCAGCUUGUUGGUGGGGUAGUGGCUUACCAAGGCUUUGACGGGUAGCCGGCCUGAGCGGGUGACCGGGGACAUUGGGACUGAGAUACGGCCCAGACUCCUACGGGAGGCAGCAGUGGGGAAUAUUGCACGAUGGGCGGAAGGCUGAUGCAGAAACGACGCGUGCGGGAUGACGGACUUCGGGGUGUAAACCGCUUUCGCCUGUGACGAAGCGUGAGUGAAGGUAAUGGGUAAAGAAGCACCGGCUAACUACGUG
rnacentral:rRNA from 1 species